GACGAACGCUGGCGGCGUGGAUUAGGCAUGCAAGUCGAACGGUAUCAUCCUUUCGGGGGUGAGAGAGUGGCGAACUGGUGAGUAACACGUAGGUUAUCUACCCUCAAGACGGGGACAACCCAGGGAAACUUGGGCUAAUACCGGAUGUGAGCAACUUUUAGUUGUUUGAAAGGUGGCGUAAGCUGUCGCUUGGGGAUGAGCCUGCGUCCUAUUAGUUAGUUGGUGAGGUAACGGCUCACCUAGGCAAUGAUAGGUAGGCGGCCUUAACGGGUGGUCGCCCACACUGGGAUCGAGAUACGGCCCAGACUCCUACGGGAGGCAGCAGUCGAGAAUAGUCUACAAUGGUCGGAAGACUGAUAGUGCGACGCCGCGUGAACGAUGAAUCCCUUCGGGGUGUAAAGUUCUUUCAGCAGGGAAGAAGCGAAAGUGACGGUACCGCUAAAGGAAGCACCGGCUAACUCCGUG
rnacentral:rRNA from 1 species